GACGGAGGAUGCAAGCGUUAUCCGGAAUGAUUGGGCGUAAAGCGUCCGCAGGUGGCCGUUCAAGUCUGCUGUCAAAGACCGGGGCUUAACUUCGGAAAGGCAGUGGAAACUGAACAGCUAGAGUAUGGUAGGGGCAGAGGGAAUUCCUGGUGUAGCGGUGAAAUGCGUAGAGAUCAGGAAGAACAUCGGUGGCGAAGGCGCUCGGCUGGACCAUAACUGACACUCAGGGACGAAAGCUAGGGGAGCGAAUGGG
rnacentral:rRNA from 1 species